UACAGAGGGUGCGAGCGUUAAUCGGAGUUACUGGGCGUAAAGGGCGCGUAGGCGGGAUGGCAAGUCGGUCGUGAAAUCCCUCGGCUCAACCGAGGAACGUCGAUCGAUACUGCUGUUCUUGAGGAUUGCAGAGGAGACUGGAAUUCCCGGUGUAGCGGUGAAAUGUGUAGAGAUCGGGAGGAACACCGGUGGCGAAGGCGGGUCUCUGGGCAAUUCCUGACGCUGAGGCGCGAAAGCGUGGGGAGCAAACGGG
rnacentral:rRNA from 1 species